rnacentral:misc_RNA from 1 species
AAGUCGUAACAAGGUUUCCGUAGGUGAACCUGCGGAAGGAUCAUUACCGAGAUAGGGUGCCGGCCUAAACCCCCGGCGCCCGACCUCCAACCCAUUGUCUACGAUACCUUUGUUGCCUCGGCGGGUCGUCGAGCGCCUAGCGAUAGGCCUGCCGCCGUCCGGCUCCGUAGGCAGCCCUCGGUCGCCCCCGCCGAAGGCCACCGAAAAUGAAACCCAAUCAACUUUGCAAAUCCGAACGCCCUCCUGAAGUGAAAUUAUAAUACUUCAAAA